UGUUUUAGAGAUGGGGGUCUCACUAUGUUGCCCAAGCUGGACUCAAGCUUCUGGGCUCCACCAAUUCUCCUUCCUCAGCCCCCAUAGAAACUGGGUCUACUGAGCUGAGUAAUCUUAGCUGCAGUAUUCAUGUUUAUUUACCAUACUUCCGGGGAAGAGAAGAUACCAGACUGUCCAGCACUAACUCCUAUGAGAGAGUCACCAUCUUUAAGG